rnacentral:rRNA from 1 species
GACGAACGCUGGCGGCGUGCCUAAUACAUGCAAGUAGAACGCUGAAGGAGGAGCUUGCUUCUCCGGAUGAGUUGCGAACGGGUGAGUAACGCGUAGGUAACCUGCCUGGUAGCGGGGGAUAACUAUUGGAAACGAUAGCUAAUACCGCAUAACAGUAGAUGUUGCAUGACAUUUGCUUAAAAGGUGCAAUUGCAUCACUACCAGAUGGACCUGCGUUGUAUUAGCUAGUUGGUGAGGUAACGGCUCACCAAGGCGACGAUACAUAGCCGACCUGAGAGGGUGAUCGGCCACACUGGGACUGAGACACGGCCCAGACUCCUACGGGAGGCAGCAGUAGGGAAUCUUCGGCAAUGGACGGAAGUCUGACCGAGCAACGCCGCGUGAGUGAAGAAGGUUUUCGGAUCGUAAAGCUCUGUUGUAAGAGAAGAACGAGUGCGAGAGUGGAAAGUUCACACUGUGACGGUAUCUUACCAGAAAGGGACGGCUAACUACGUG